UUGGGCCGUAUGCGGGGAAGCUCGCCUGUACGGUUCUUAGGGGCGGCCGCACAGCAGUGUGCCGCUGCUACCCGAC
rnacentral:ncRNA from 1 species